UUAGUCGUUAAGCCCAGCCGGUUAUAAUGCUGAAGCUGAACAGUGAACAUUUUAUAUUCACACUUCACAGUCGAACUUUUGCCGCUUUGGCUGAUUGGCUCUUAGCAGGGAUGCCAGAUGCGGACGUUUUAAUUGCAAAACUAAAAAUGGCAAUGUUGCGCUGUGCGCGUUACUUUCAAGAUGGCUGCUGACAGUCUAACAGCCUCGGCGACCGAAGUCAACUCAACUUAUUUUCCCUGACAUUACUCGUCAUAAAAAUUAUAAUAUAGCCUAAAAUUUAUAGUUGGCAAUUCCAUAUGAUUAUGUGGCCUGAAACUGCUGUAUAUUUUCCCAAAAUGUCGUCUCUUGCUGCACGUCCCGGCUGUGCGUUUCGUCACAUGUAGAGAUACUUCACAACAUUAAAAGUGAUCAUGUUGGUCUAACCCUAAGCAUGGUGAAGUCUGAGCUUCUUCAUUGCAGUCCCAUGUGCUGUACUGUGCAAUUUGUUGCAGCCAGCUGGCGAAAGGUGUUCCUCUUACAGGUUUGCUACCUGUACCAUUUGUAACUUUCGUCAAAUUCAGAAACACUUCCAAACAAUUUAAAGUAAUUGAGUUGAUCAACUUUUUUACAGAUUAGCAGCCUCUUGAGGUCUGAGCCUCUUUGUUGCAGUCUGAUGUGUACAUGAAUUUUGUGCAGCCAGCUAGUAAACGGCGUGGUGAGCUGUUGCAUGGAGACUGUGGUGUUGGUGACUUGGUGUCGUUCGUUCAUUUAACUAUGGACCGUCCAGUCGUUCGUUUAUCGUAAGAAAUCUGUCACUUGUCGUAGAUUUCCAUGGUCAGUUUUAUGUUUGAGCUGUUUAUGGUGUUGCUGUAUGGGAUACAGUGGUUUUGCAGACCUUUUCCAGUUGAGAGAUGCGCUGAAAUGGUGGAACUUGUGCAGACCUCCAGUUGAACAUCAUACUUUAAUGAGUCAUUUGCCUAUGUUGGUGUUCAUGCAGUAUAUGCAGCGUUAUGCAACAUUUUGGCAGCAUUUUGUCGACAUGUUGCCUCUUGCUACCUGUACCGCUGUUGAGUUGAUUCGUUUGCCGCCGUUCGUUAGACUCGAUCCACCGGUGAAACUAAGAAGACGUUGCUGAAAUUCAAGAUUGAUCAAUAAAUUAUAUAGAUAAAUUA